rnacentral:rRNA from 1 species
CAGAGGGUGCGAGCGUUGUUCGGAAUUACUGGGCGUAAAGCGCGCGCAGGCGGCCUUUUAAGUCUACCCGUGAAAUGCCGGAGCUCAACUCCGUGCACGCCGGGGGAUACUGGGAGGCUGGAGACAUGUAGAGGCAAGCGGAAUUCCGGGUGUAGCGGUGGAAUGCGUAGAUAUCCGGAAGAACACCUGAGGCGAAGACGGCUUGCUGGGCAUGAUCUGACGCUGAGGCGCGAAAGCGUGGGGAGCAAACAGGAUUAGAUACCCUGGUAGUCCACGCCGUAAACGAUGGGCACUAGACGCGGGUGGGAUCGACCCCUUCCGUGUCGCAGCUAACGCGAUAAGUGCCCCGCCUGGGGAGUACGGCCGCAAGGCUG